AAAAAAAACUGAGACCAUCACUCUCCUCUCCUCUUUAACAUCAGUGUCACACAAAUACAGGAACUCAGAUGAUCAGAUCGUUUCUGACUAGUUCACUGAAAGAGCUCUGCUUCUUCUUUCUUCACAGAUUUACCCAGAUCUACACUGACUGUGACUCCAGACAGUCCUGUAUUCACUGGAGAGAGAGUCAAUCUGACGUGUGUGAUUGAGUCUUACAGUAACUGGACACAGAGAAAUGGCCUGAAAUAUGACUGGAGAUAUGACUGGACAGAUUUCCAGACAUAUGAGUGGAGAUAUGAGUGGUAUAAAAGCAGAGACAGUGUAAUGUUACAGACAUCUGAGCGUUACACUGUAAACACAGACACUCUCACUAUCAGAGGAGCUACUGAGUCUGAUCAGGGUCAGUUCUGGUGUAGAGGACACAGAGAUGAAAGACCAAAAUCAUCACAAUCAAGCUCUGUUUCUCUCACUGUGACGGAUUUCCCCAGAUCUACACUGACUGUGACUCCAGACAGUCCUGUAUUCACUGGAGAGAGAGUCAAUCUGAAGUGUGUGAUUGAGUCUUAAAGUGACUGGAGAUAUGAGUGGUAUAAAGACAGAGACAGUGUAAUGUUACAGUCGUCUGAGCGUUACACUGUAAACACAGACACUCUCACUAUCAGAGGAGCUACUGAGUCUGAUCAGGAUCAGUUCUGGUGUAGAGGACAGAGAGAUGAAAGACCAAACUCAUCACAAUCAAGCUCUGUUUCUCUCACUGUGACGGCUUUACCCAGAUCUACUCUGACUGUGACUCCAGACAGUCCUGUAUUCACUGGAGAGAGAGUGAUUCUGAAGUGUGUGAUUGAGUCUUACAGUGACUGGAGAUAUGAGUGGUAUAAAGACAGAGACAGUGUAAUGUUACAGACGUCUGAGCGUUACACUGUAAACAGAGACACUCUCACUAUCAGAGGAGCUACUGAGUCUGAUCAGGAUCAGUUCUGGUGUAGAGGACAGAGAGAU
ensembl:lncRNA